CCUACGGGGGGCUGCAGUGGGGAAUAUUGCACAAUGGGCGCAAGCCUGAUGCAGCCAUGCCGCGUGUGUGAAGAAGGCCUUCGGGUUGCAAAGCACUUUCAGCGGGGAGGAAGGCGUUAAGGUUAAUAACCUUGGCGAUUGACGUUACCCGCAGAAGAAGCACCGGCUAACUCCGUGCCAGCAGCCGCGGUAAUACGGAGGGUGCAAGCGUUAAUCGGAAUUACUGGGCGUAAAGCGCACGCAGGCGGUCUGUCAAGUCGGAUGUGAAAUCCCCGGGCUCAACCUGGGAACUGCAUUCGAAACUGGCAGGCUAGAGUCUUGUAGAGGGGGGUAGAAUUCCAGGUGUAGCGGUGAAAUGCGUAGAGAUCUGGAGGAAUACCGGUGGCGAAGGCGGCCCCCUGGACAAAGACUGACGCUCAGGCGCGAAAGCGUGGGGAGCAAACAGGAUUAGAUACCCGAGUAGUC
rnacentral:rRNA from 1 species